rnacentral:rRNA from 1 species
AUUGAACGCUGGCGGCAGGCCUAACACAUGCAAGUCGAGCGGAUGAAGGGUGCUUGCUCCUGGUUCCAGCGUCGGACGGGUGUGUAAUGCCUAGGAAUCUGCCUGGUAGUGGUUGAUAACGUCCGGAAACGGGCGCUAAUACCGCAUACGUCCUGAGGGAGAAAGUGGGGGAUGUUCGGACCUCACGCUAUGAGAUGAGUGUAGGUCGGAUUAGAUAGUUGGUGGGGUAAAGGCCUACCAAGCCGACGAUCCGUAACUGGCCGGCGAGGAUGAUAAGACACACUGGAGCGGGACCGGGGACAAGAGUCCUAAGAGAGGCAGCAGAGGGGAAUGUUGGACAGAAGGCGAGAGCAUUGUCCAGCCAUGCCGCGUGUGUUACAGAAGUCUUCGGAUUGUGAAGAACGUUAACUUGGGGGGAAGGGCAGUAAGUUAAUACCAUGCUGUUGUGACGGUACCAAGAGAAUAAGCACCGGCUAACUUCGUG